rnacentral:rRNA from 1 species
GUGAGGAAUUUUCCGCAAUGGGCGAAAGCCUGACGGAGCAAUGCCGCGUGAAGGAUGAAGGCCUAUGGGUUGUAAACUUCUUUUCUCAGAAAAGAAUUAUGACGGUAUCUGAGGAAUAAGCAUCGGCUAACUCUGUGCCAGCAGCCGCGGUAAGACAGAGGAUGCAAGCGUUAUCCGGAAUGAUUGGGCGUAAGGCGUCUGUAGGUUGUUUAAAAAGUAUUCUGUCAAAGAUUAGGGCUUAACCCUAGAUAGGCAGAAUAAACUUUUAAGCUAGAGUUUGGUAGAGGCAGAGGGAAUUCCCGGUGGAGCGGUGAAAUGCGUAGAUAUCGGGAGGAACACCAAAGGCGAAGGCACUCUGCUGGGCCAAUACUAACACUGAGAGACGAAAGCGAGGGGAGCAAAUGGGAUUAGAAACCCGAGUAGUCC